rnacentral:lncRNA from 7 species
GAGCCUAUAACAAGCAUGUUCGGUGUCCGCUGACUACUACAGAUGAUAGAUCGAUUUUUAUAUUAUGAGUUUUUAAUCGUACGCCGUGGCAACUUUGGUAGACUCUAUGAAGUACUGUCAGUAGUCAUCGGAUCAUUAGUAAAGCUUUAGCCGGGGCACGUUUUGUCCACUCCAUCGACGUGGGAGUCGCUGCCGAUCGAUGAUGACGCACAUGCGUAUAUUGCGGCAUAUGCCUGGGCGCUGCCGCGCUGGGUUGCACUAGCUCCAUCCUCCGCAGCCCCCGGUUGACUUGUAACCGCUUUGGCAGCGCCUUUAUUCUAUCCGUAGGUUGAACUAACCAAACGCGGUGAGAAGAGGAAACCAAGC